UUCACAGUUACAUGGGCAAUGGUGCUUUGGCAGCUUAAUGCAUAAGGUUGGGGCUGAAUGUUAUACACUCUUAAGACCCUCUAGUUCAUGAACUUCUCUAAGGGGACCUGUGGUUGGGGUGUAAUAGAAAGCAUUGUUCUCUCCCAACCUUAGAAUUGCCUGUAAGAUCAAGGACUCUGUGCUGAUUCUCCUUAAUUAGUAGAAAAUUCAGACUGGAUAUAAGGAAGACAUUUUUUACUAUCAGGGUGGUGUGGCACUGAAAUAGGUUGCACAAAGAGCUGGUGGGUCCCUUGCCCUCAGAGACACCCAAGGUCAGACUGGAGGGGCUCUGAGCACUGAUGGAGCUAUAGGUGUCUCUGUUCAUUGCAGGGGAGUUGGACGAGAUGGCCUUUAAAGGCCCCCCCAACUCAAACCAUUCUAUGGUUCUAUGAAAAUUAAAUGGAAAAGAUUUCCAGCUGGCGUCAGUGAAAUGUAUAAAGGAAACAAAAAAUUCCGAGAUUGGAUCAUCACUGUUAAAGACAAUUAGCAAAUAAAGACAUAAGCAUGAGAAACUUCAGAAAAGCCUACAGAAAGCCAUGCAACAGCCUUGGAAGGAAGAUGGGAUCUCAGCUUAAGUCCUCCACUUAACACAGAAGUGACGCACUCAAGACUGUGCCCAUAAUUUCUGUUAAUGUAAAGCCACCUCCUCCUCAAAACUCCUCAUUUGGCUGUGAAUUGCAGUUCAGAACUCACCCAAGAUUUCAGGCAGAACUCUUCAGAAACCAGAAGUGGUUUAUUCUUCAUUUCUUAUUUCUUAUAUUCUUAUUCACCUCGGGAGAGCAAGAAGGUCAGGUGGAUCCUGAGAAAUGCAGUCAGACUCCAGAGCUUGACAAGUCCUCGGUGUGCAGGAAAAUCUAAGGGAAAUGCCCACAUUAACUCAUAUUGAUGAUUACCCCAGCAGAGUCUGGACUCUCCCUCGAUUCAGUGAACACACUGGUAUGUAGCAGAGCAAGCAAGUUCAAAGCCUCAGCAGAAGAAAAGGCCAAACAAGAAAUUAUCCCAAGCCUGGCAGCAUUUCCACUUCCUAUAUUUUAUUAUCCACCUCCUCCAGAUGAAGGGAAAUGGAACAGUGAAAGAAAGAAAAGCCAAGGAGAAAAAGGUCUGGGUGCAUAUCCAAGCCACCCAACUGUGACAGUGAAACACCAUACGUGCAAGCUUGAGAAGAUGACCUACAUGAACCUAAUGAGGUCCAGCAAGGCCAAGUGCAAGGUGCCAUGAAAAUGACUCUGUUAUCAUCCAUCAAAGACGGAGUUAAAUCAGUGGAUUCAUCAGCCCCUCUUCUCAUGGAAAUCUAUCCGAGGAGAUGGAGCCAACCAAAACAACUGACCACAUGCUUGAAUAGGAGGAGCAUCAACAUUGCUGCAAGCUGUUGGAGAGAACAGAGACUAGGAAAUUAUUUGCCCAGUCAUUUACAAGCAAAGAGAAACCUCAAAAAACAACACAAGGAUAACCAUAAAAGAGAUAUAAUCAGAAAUAAAGCCUUGAAUAAAAGCAGGAACAAGGGAACUCCUUGAUAACUGAAAUUCACUGGAAAUGCAGGUAAAUGCAGCAUAUGUUCC
ensembl:lncRNA